rnacentral:rRNA from 1 species
AGUGAACGCUGGCGGUAGGCCUAACACAUGCAAGUCGAACGGCAGCACAGUAAGAGCUUGCUCUUACGGGUGGCGAGUGGCGGACGGGUGAGGAAUACAUCGGAAUCUACUUUUUCGUGGGGGAUAACGUAGGGAAACUUACGCUAAUACCGCAUACGACCUACGGGUGAAAGCAGGGGAUCUUCGGACCUUGCGCGAUUGAAUGAGCCGAUGUCGGAUUAGCUAGUUGGCGGGGUAAAGGCCCACCAAGGCGACGAUCCGUAGCUGGUCUGAGAGGAUGAUCAGCCAAACUGGAACUGAGACACGGUCCAGACUCCUACGGGAGGCAGCAGGGGGGAAUAUAGGACAAUGGGCGCAAGCCUGAUCCAGCCAUACCGCGUGGGUGAAGAAGGCCUUCGGGUUGUAAAGCCCUUUUGUUGGGAAAGAAAAGCAGCAGGUUAACACCCCGCUGUUCUGACGGUACCCAAAGAAUAAGCACCGGCUAACUUCGU